rnacentral:rRNA from 1 species
GACGAACGCUGGCGGCGUGCCUAAUACAUGCAAGUAGAACGCUGAAGGAGGAGCUUGCUUCUCUGGAUGAGUUGCGAACGGGUGAGUAACGCGUAGGUAACCUGCCUGGUAGCGGGGGGUAACUAUUGGAAACGAUAGCUAAUACCGCAUAAGAGUAGAUGUUGCAUGACAUUUGCUUAAAAGGUGCAAUUGCAUCACUACCAGAUGGACCUGCGUUGUAUUAGCUAGUUGGUGGGGUAACGGCUCACCAAGGCGACGAUACAUAGCCGACCUGAGAGGGGGAACGGCCACACUGGGACUGAGACACGGCCCAGACUCCUACGGGAGGCAGCAGUAGGGAAUCUUCGGCAAUGGACGGAAGUCUGACCGAGCAACGCCGCGGGAGUGAAGAAGGUUUUCGGAUCGUAAAGCUCUGUUGUAAGAGAAGAAAGAGUGUGAGAGUGGAAAGUUCACACUGUGACGGUAUCUUACCAGAAAGGGACGGCUAACUACGUG